AGAAUCCGCGGGUCAGACCCGUUUCGGUAGACACAAGUGGGUGUGGAACCAUUGUGGAAGCUUAGAUAAUUAGAAGGAAAUGACAGCGGCGCGGAGGGAAAAUGCCCAUGUGAGCCCCAAACUCCAACAUGUAAUGGGAAUUACUGAUGCCUACUUGAAUGAGGCCUUUGGACUCCCUUAGGCAGUCGAGCCAGGUUUAAAGUUGUAUAAAAAAGUUGACACAAUCUCUUAUUAGAUGCAGAAAACACUACAACCCGUAGCG